GCCUGGGUGGCUCAGUAGGUUGAGCAUCUGACUUCGGCUCAGGUCAUGAUCUCAUGGGUCGUGAGUUCGAGCCCCACAUCAGGCU
rfam:Felis catus isolate Cinnamon breed Abyssinian chromosome C2, whole genome shotgun sequence.